rnacentral:rRNA from 1 species
AUUGAACGCUGGCGGCAGGCUUAACACAUGCAAGUCGAGCGGGGUGAUGGUGCUUGCACUAUCACUUAGCGGCGGACGGGUGAGUAAUGCUUAGGAAUCUGCCUAUUAGUGGGGGACGACAUCUCGAAAGGGAUGCUAAUACCGCAUACGUCCUACGGGAGAAAGCAGGGGAUCACUUGUGACCUUGCGCUAAUAGAUGAGCCUAAGUCGGAUUAGCUAGUGGGUGGGGUAAAGGCCUACCAAGGCGACGAUCUGUAGCGGGUCUGAGAGGAUGAUCCACCACACUGGGACUGAGACACGGCCCAGACUCCUACGGGAGGCAGCAGUGGGGAAUAUUGGACAAUGGGGGGAACCCUGAUCCAGCCAUGCCGCGUGUGUGAAGAAGGCCUUAUGGUUGUAAAGCACUUUAAGCGAGGAGGAGGCUCUUUUGGUUAAUACCCAAGAUGAGUGGACGUUGCUCGCAGAAUAAGCACCGGCUAACUCUGUGCCAGCAGCCGCGGUAA